rnacentral:lncRNA from 1 species
UCUACACGUUUCCGUGACCAAAUAGGAACACAAUACGCCACACAAAAACUAGAUUCCGCCACCCAAUUCAUAUGGAACAUUUUUCAACAGAACAACCCUGCCGACAGAAGACACGUGCAGAAAGUGGGUUUACUCAUCGAAAACUUUGAUAAUCCUAUUGCAUAUACAAAUACAAACACGGAAGAGAUUCAUGUGAGUGGAAGUUAUGUUAAUAGCUACAAAGGUGAUGUUAGAAAUGAAAUCACAGGUGUAUUGUAUCAUGAAAUGACACACGUGUGGCAGUGGUUUGGGAGAUAUGGUGUACCUCGUGUUCCCGUUGGAUUAACUGAAGGGAUAGCAGAUUAUGUGAGAUUAAAAGCUAAUUAUAUACCUAGUCAUUGGGUAAAACCGGGGGAAGGUCAAAAAUGGGACCAAGGUUAUGAUGUUACAGCUCGGUUUUUGGAUUAUUGUGAUGGUUUAAGAAGUGGGUUUGUAGCAGAGUUGAAUAAGAUGAUAAGGAAUGGUUACAGUGAUCAACUCUUUCUUCAGUUGUUGGGAAAGACGGUUGAUCAGCUGUGGACAGAUUAUAAGGCCAAAUAUGGCAAUAUAGCUUAAGUAAGUAACGGGAUAAAUAAAUUAUAACAAUAAACGACUUUGUCGAUAUAUCUUUCUCUCUGCUUAAGGUUGUCUAUCAUAUUCUAAAGAUUCACCAUCCAGUUACUGUUACCAACUUAACGGAUACAUUAUAUGUUAUCUAUAUUUAUAUGUUUGAAUGUUUAUGUGUUAAUGUAUUAGUAUUAUUAAUAUUUUUGGGUUGAUUAAAUAUAUGAAAAAUUCUAUAUAAUUACAACAACAAAAAUAAUUUUUGAAUGUAAUUAAUAAUUUUUAGCGAAUAUCCCACACGGAUAUAGAUAUUAGAUAUAUAAACUACACAUAUUAUUUUUUAUCUAACAAAUAGAAUAGUAAAUAAUUAAUAUUCAUAUGCAUACAUAUCCAUUAUGAUCAUUAAGUAUAAUCUGUCAAAAAAUAAAACUUUAUGUGUUAUCGUGAAACGACAACUUUAUGAUUAGAAGAUACAGAAAGUAUACAUAUAAUACAUAUGUGAAUAGGUAACUUUGUCAAGGGCCGAGUGCUAAGUGUUUGUUUGUAAACUAAGGUGGACCAGAAACUAAUGGCUUAUUUAUUGUAUUUUACUUUUUAAUUUUUGAAAAUUAUUUUAUAAAUAAAUUUUAAAAAAUAUUUUUAAAAAGAAAUUUUUUUAAAAAAAUAUGUUUGACAACUCUAAUUUUUAAAACAGUUUUUGACUAAAGAUGUAAAAAAAUUAAAAAAAUAAAUUAAGUAAAACACUAUUUAUAUGUUUUGCUUUUUGAAUUUUAAAAAGUAUAAUAUUAAAAAUAAUUAUAUAAAACAGUUUUUACAAAAAGUAAUUCAAACAGAUUUUUUAGUUUUUAAAUUUUAAAGUACUAAAAUAGAGUUUCUGAAAUGUGAAUCAAAUAAGCCUUAAGUAUUAUAGCUUUUUUUUUUGCAAUUUGAUUUUACGGUAAUAAAAAAUUAUUUUUAAUAAAUCGAUUUUGUAAAGUGAAUGUUUUAAUUAAAAAUAAAUUGAAUAUAAAAUGAUUAAUAUUUUGAUAUAUUAAUAUAAAAAUGAAUAGAAUAAUAAAUUUCAGUGUAAAGUUAACUUUGUUGUCAAAAUCUAAAAUCUUAACUUCAAAUUAAAAUCAAUCUUAAAAGACAAAAUAAAUUUUACUUGAUAAUAUUUUACACAUCUAAAAUCAGUUUUGAUCCCCUAAAAGGGGAACUAAACAUGAACAAAUUAAAAAUCAUAGUAGAAGAACUCCAAAGUUAUGGUGAGUGUAUCACUCAACCAAUUACAUAGUACAACUAUAUAUUUAGGUGUUAUUAAUUAAAUUACAAAAAUAAAUAGUUUAGAAUUUAAAAUUAAAGUUUUUAGAGGAUUUUGUUAAAAUUUAGUAACAUUAAUCAUUCAACAUCACCGUAUCUACAUUGUUGAAAAUAUAUUAUAUUAUUAUUUUUCAUUUAAAAACUCUAAAAAAAUGAUCAAAAUUGUUAGAUUUUAAAAUAGGAGAUCAAAACUAAAAUUAAAUUUAAUAUUUAUCAAAAAUUUUAGAAAAAUAUAUAACAUAAUUAAGAAUAAGUUAAUAAAAAUAUAAUUAAUAUAUUUGAAAAACUAAAAGAAUCUUAUAUAAAAGAGACAAAAAAAAAAAAGACAAGUCCUAUAUUUAAAGAUAGAAGUAAUAGAAUUUUAUUUUACUGAGUAAUUUAUGAUUUACUUUAUUUUAAUCCCCCCCAAAAAGUUAAAAGUAGCAAUCAGUUGAUAAAAUAAUUAGCAUCCAACCAUUCUCCAAUUACUGACUUUGACUUCAGGUCAACUCCCUCAUGAGCAAGUCUUGCAUAAUCAUAAGAUAAAUAGUGUUUAGACACACAAAAAUAGAUUUUUUUUUCUAAUAAAAAAAAAUUACUUUUACUUUUUUAUUGAUGUCUUUAAAAAGUAUUUAUUGUGUAUGUGUCUAACUAUUGGGCACUUGUUUUUAAAAACUAUUUAUUUUGUGCAUAUGUCUAACUAUUAGGCACUUGGUCUUGUGACCAUAAAAGAAUAACUCUUCCUUCAUUGGCGCAAAAGAGUAAAGAAUUUAUAAUUUUUAAAUUAAAAUGAAUUUAUAAUUCAGAAUAUUUAUAAUUUAAAAUAAAUUAAAAAUAAUUUUUUAAAUAAAAAAAUUUAAGAUAAAAAUACUGAAAAAAUAAAUAUAUAAAAAUCGAAUAUUAAAUUAUUUUUUUGGAUGAACUUAUAUAAUGUUGUAAACAUCUCUAUAAAAACUCAUUGAAAAUUAUACAUUGAUUUAACAUAAACUUAAACUAUAUACAUUAUUAUAAUAUUAUGAAGAUUACAAAUUAUUAUUUUUAAUCAAAAUUUAACUUAAAUCAUAGUGACGUGGUUAAUUAUAUACGGUAUAUGAUUAAAAGUUGUGAUAUUUUAUUAUAUUUAUUAUUCAUUUACUAAAUGUAGUUAAUAAUAUUUAAAACAAUAUUAGUAAUUUAAUUUGUUCUCUAUUUAUGUAAAAAUUAUAAUUACGAAGUAUAUAUAGGAAUUAUAAAUAUAUAUUACUAAAAUAAAAUAAAAAUAAAUAAAUAUAUAUAAAAUGUUGAUGUCAUUUAUUUUAAUUUUUAAUCAUAUAAAAUUAAUUUUUUAUAUCACUUUUAUGUAUUUUUUAUUCAAAAUAGAGUAUAGUACAUUGUAUAAAUAAUUGUAUCAAAAAUAUAUAUUUUGUAAGUUUUUAAUCAAGUUGAUAUUUAUACAAGAUAUUUUUACUGCUUAUGAAGUUUAAUCAUCAAAGAUAAAUAAAGUUUUCGAGAUUUAAAGAUAGAAUUUCACAAAUAAAAAUGCCAAGGAACUACAUGGUUUAAAUAAAAAAUGUAACAACAUCAUUUUAUAUGUGAAAUUUAUUAUUUUGGAAUUUAAAGAUGCAUUAUACUUAUAAAAAGUAUCACCAAAUGACACAUGCCACAAUAUUUUGAAAUAUAAUAGUUAAUAAUGUUUAUCAAGUGGCCAUACUUCUAAAAAUUAAUUGACACUUUAAGAGAGAUAAUAAUAAAAGAGGAGUAAGAUAGAUGUGAUACAUUGAUAAUGUGAUAGAAAAAAGAAAUUGAAAAAAUAUAAAAUAUUAAAUAAGUGUAUAAAAAUUAAAGUUGGGCAAAUAUAAGAGUUCAAAAAAAAACAUAAACUUAUAUAUUUAAUGUGUAUCACCACAACUCAAUAAAAAAGAAUUAUUGAAAUACAUCCAAAAAAACUCUAAUAAUUCAUUAAUCGGGAUAUACUAUUUUAUUACGUAAAACUCAAAAUAUUACAUGUUAAAUAAAAAAGAGUACAAUAAAAUUAAAUCAAAAAGAAUAACACUAUGACAUGUGUUCUAUAGGCUACAUUAUGCAGUUGCCUUUAUUUUCUUUGAUCUCUUAGAUUAUAAAAAAAAACAUAAUUAUAAAAUAAAUCUAAACGUGCUUUAAGCUUGACACACAUGCAAAAUGGCAACAGCAAUGCAACAACUAAAGAUAAAGAUAAAAAGAAUAGACAUCAAUAUUUCUACUAUCCCUUAACUUAAUUUUAGAUAACACUUUAGAUUUUUAUUUGAUUUUUUCAAUUUAAUUUUUUAUUUAAUUUUAAAUAAAUAAUUUGAUCUUUUAUAUUUUAAAAUUUUAACAAUGUUAUAAUUGUUUUACAAAAAUUCAUCAAAAUUUUUAAACAAAACUCAUAAAAUUAAUUAUCAUUUUCAAUAUAAUGCAAAUCUCAUCAAAUUUAUAAUUUAAAUAUUCAAAUAAACUCAUAUUUUUAUUCUUUAUAUUUUUGAAUUUUUAUAAUAAAAUUAAAUAAAUUACCAAAUAAUUUUUUUUUUGAAAUCUUAUCUAAAAUUAAAUUAAAAGAUUGCAAUAUCAAUUGUACCAAAAUAUAGUAACAAAUUUACUCUAACAGAGUAAUGUAAACUUAAAAUUUGUUGCAAGUGAAGGUACGCACGUAUAACAAUAAGAAAAUUCAAGAUUGCAUUUUAAAUCAUAGAAACUACUUAGAAUGGUUAAUAUAAAUACAAACAGUUCUAGCCAUAUUGAGAUGAUUAUGUAAAUAUAUAUAUUGAGAUGAAUAAUCUAUUAGAAAAGAAAAAAUCGAAUUCAAUUAAAAAAUUCAACAACUGACAUCAAAUAGAGAAUUUUAGCAAUAUUACUUCCUCUUAUAUUAACUUGGAACUUGAUUGCACACUUCUACCUUCGUAUAUUUGCAUAAUAACUGGGAAAAAAGAAUGAAAAUAGAAACUAAACAGAUACUUUAAGUAAUUGAAUGAAAAAGAAAAAAUUGAUUACAUUUUAAAAUUAUAAAAGUUCAUAUCCUAUCACUAUUAUGGUUAGCAUUUACCUGUCAACUCGAAGGCCUCCCUUUUCUUCUCUUUGUAGCCAUCAUGGCGUAGAGGCAACAAACCAUCUUAUUUGUUUAUCCUACCAUUUCCUUCCAAGUUCCAUCUACUGCGUGAAAAAAAAAAUUAUAAGUAAAACGAAAAAAAAAAUGUUGAGGAGGAGAAGGGAAGAAAAAGAUUAAAAAAUUUCAUUUGCAUAAAAAGAAAACCAGACAUUUUCUUUUUCUUCCUUAGAUAGAUGACCACAACAUAUAUAUCGCAAAUUUCAAGAUCGAAAACAUGAAGAGAGGCGGCUUGAGCAUUCAAUCCAUCUAUGUUUACCAAAAACUAAUUUAAAAUGCAUAGUAAAAAUAAAUAUAAUGAAUUAAUGAACUUUUAUCUUUUUCAAUGUGUAUACGAAGAGGUGCACUCAUUAUAAUAGGGUAGGGUGCACAUACAAUUAUUUUUUCUUGUCUACCCUUUAAUUAAGCUCAUGCUUUUCUUAUUCUCAACUUUAAGUGGAC